GCGCCAGUAGCUCAGCUGGAUAGAGCAACGGACUUCUAAUCCGUAGGUCGGGAGUUCGAAUCUUCCCUGGCGCGCCA
rnacentral:tRNA from 1 species